rnacentral:snRNA from 1 species
GUACUCGCUUUGGCAGCACAUAUAUUAAAAUUGGAAAGAUACAGAGAAGAUUAGCAUGGCCCCUGCUCAAGGAUGACAUGCAAAUUCAUGAAGCAGUCCAUAUUUUU